rnacentral:misc_RNA from 1 species
GAAAUGCGAUAAGUAAUGUGAAUUGCAGAAUUCAGUGAAUCAUCGAAUCUUUGAACGCACAUUGCGCCCCUUGGUAUUCCGGGGGGCAUGCCUGUUCGAGCGUCAUUACAACUCUCAAGCUCUGCUUGGUAUUGGGUAUCACCUUUGGUGGUGUGCCCCAAAUUUUUUCAGGUUGACCUCGGAUCAGGUAGGGAUACCCGCUGAACUUAA